GGCCUCGGGCGCCUGCGGCGUGGGCGUCGCGCUUCGGGGUGUGGGGCUGUCGUGGGAGAUACUGUUGCCACAGAAACAAUGGGGGAGGACAGCAUCAAGGGAAUGAGAAAUAGAAACAAAAGAAGUGGAUUGGUCAUCUAUGAGCAAAAAAAAAGCAAGAAAGGAUAUUUGACCAGCUAGACACGUCAAGCCUUCAGAUAUCCAGCAGUUCAUCUACAGAAAUUCAAAGCUGCAAGGGAUUGUGUGUGAGUGUGUGUGCACAUGCACACUUGUGGAGGCAGACCUUUGAGAGCAGUUACAGAGUUCUGGUAGUGCGUACAGAUCAGUACAAUAACUAACCCCGUCUGAAAGAAGACAUCAGUUGUAUCCUGUAUCCCCAAGGAGAGACCAAUCCACCUGAUAAAGCGAGACAAGAGCAUCUUUCCCAGCUGGACAGCCAGCCUGAAGAGAGCUUUCAACAAGGAACAGGGAAGGGAGAUUGCAACACAGGGAAGAGAAGAAAUAGUAGUCAAGGGCGGUAAGAAAAUAGUGCUGCAUGUUGGGAAUAAGAGACCUCAGGAAUGAUGAAACAGGGUGUGAGAGGCCACCCACCUCAAGGGUAUGCACACUUACACCUACAGCCUGGGAAGCAAGCAGGAGAAACUAUCGCUCUGCAAGCAUGACGUGGUGGGAGUUUGCUACAGAUUGCCGCAUCAGGCAAAUUAUGUCUUCUAUAAGGAAUUUGAGGGAGUCUCAGAUCCCAGACUGAUGAGGGAUUUCAGCCUACCUGACCUCUGCUAUAAACACAACACAUCACAAUCCAAGCAGUCGAGAUUUCUGAAAGGUAUUGAGGAUGAUUUAUUGAUACUGGAUGGGCCAACCACAGGUGAUCACAGCUGGAUCUGCCACGUCAGCAAGGCAGAACCAUGGGAUGUGGCAGUCAGUAGUUUGGUCAUCAAAGCCUUGGCUGCAGUGACUGAGGAAAGGUGUUUGUGAUCCUGAGGAGACCAAGGGACGAUAGCAGCAGACUACAGACCCUGUGCUUCAGGAGAGCAUACUUCAGCUUAUUCAGGAAACUGGUAGGUGGGAUCCACUGAGCAGCAGCUCUGAAGGGAGAGCUGGCAAGUGAGCAUGAGGAUUGUCCAUCCUAAUACUGAGGAAAACAAAUAGUAUUCAUAUUUUCAGCAAUGGAAAAGCAAAAUUGAUGUGAUCUAAAGAAGAGAAAAAGAGUGGCUAAAUGGGAAAUUAAAUUAAGGCCAGGGUUAUCAUAAGAUCUGUAUUGCUUGGUAAAUUCAUUCCAGUCAAAUGUUUUAAUAUAAGCACAAGCAGAGUUACUUAAAAAUAUGGUGAACAGGUCACGCCUGCAGAUGUGAGCUGUGUUAUGGAGAAGUAAAUGAAAAGAAAUUAAGAGUUCACAAUGGGCAACCUAGCAAAAAUCAGUUUCCAACCUAAUGUUACAGUACAGGAUACGGCAAGUAGGAUGAGAUGUUAUUUUGCCUCUGUGUAUGGCAUUGGUGACAUUUUUGUGGUAAUACUGUACCCACCUCUGGUGUCCUCAUUGUCAAAAGAAUACUGAGAAAUUACUUGAGGCUGGAGAAAAUUCUCUGCAUGGAGAGACUUAAAGAGCACGAUCUGUUUGACUUCUCAGAAAGAAGACUGGAAAGUGACUACAGAGAUCUUCAAUCUCACACAGUGAGAAGCAUAACUACAAAAAAUACCUAUAAACUGAAAUCAAACAAAUUUGAAUUGGAAAUUACACACAUUCUUAAAAAGUGGAAGACUCUAAUGGUUGAAGUAUUUUGCCAAGCAAAAGGGUACAUUCAGUAUCUCCUAAGGGUUUCAGUUGAAGAAUAGAUGCUUUUGUCACAGAAGUGCAUUAGCUGAACAGAUGGAAUUCUUUACCUGCCUUUAAAGUCUCUCACAGUCUACAACUGUGUAGCUGUUGUUAUAAAAUAUUUGAAUUACCAUGAUGCCUAGAAACACAACUCAGAGGCCAAAGCCCUUUGCCUAAUUAGUCUCUAUGUAAGACACUGAGAGAAAAUCCAUUCUGUCUUCUGAAGAUUUUAUAAUCCAAAUGGAUAGAGGCACCAAUUGAAACAGAAGAGCAAAGAGAAAAUGUAACGAGUGUGAACUGCUGCCACUCACCCUGUGCCUCUCCUUGUUUCAUAAUCUCAUGGUUUGGCAGCCACCCAGUUUACUCAAGGGUGUGUGGGUCGGCUGGUUUUAAAAAUUGAAGAGCAGCAUGGUACAGGUAUGUUUGUGCCUGUAUCAUCUCUGCAACAGUAGGAGGCUUUGCUGAGUCUGAAGAACGUCAGGUUUUUAUUAAUGUUGCUUGUCAACAGCAUUGGUCCCAUGAAUCUCUUUCCUCACUCCACUAACAAGUCAAACCACCAGUCAGACUUUUGCUGCAGUGUCUGAAUGCAGACAGAUUGCAUCUGUUGUUGGACUAGUAUAUAGUAUGACCAAAAGAUGAUAGCAUAGUAGGACCAUAAAAUAGUAGGAUAGUUCUGGUUGGAAGGGACCUCUGAAGGUCUCUGGCCCAACCUCCUGCUCACAGCAGAGUUGACUGUCAAGUCAGAAGGUUGCUUUGUGUAUGUACCUCUUUAUUUGCUUUGGAAACUCUUAAUUUUGGAUCCAAAUAGUCCUUGCAAAAAGACCAUGUGAAUUCACCAGCUGGAUUUUGAUUGACACAUAGCCCAGUGAAGGUCAUCCACCAUCCUCAUGGUGGAGUAACCAGCCCCACUCUAAAAAUACACUUUAACUUGUAGGCAACAAAUAUUACAGGAUUUAUGCUACAAGGUAAUAGAGUGGGACAUAAAAGAUUUUUUUCCCAAUUUGUAUUUCAUAAUUUCAAGAAAAACUGAAACAGAAUGCAAAUUAAACAGAACUGGAAACUUAACACAUUACACAAGUGAAAUUGGAUCCUUCUUGGGAACACGAAACGCUAACAAUAAAUAUAUUUCAAAAGUCCUGUUACAUCAAAUCAUCUUGGACUGACUGAAAAAUACUUAAAUAUCUGUAUUAGUAGAUGAAUAUUUGUAAAUUAUGGUUCCAGUACAUUUCCAGGAAAUAAAGCUUUUUUCAGGACAGCUGUACAUGCUAUCUGGGCACCAUGACAGGGAGUGAUGGUAGGCAGACUGAAAAUGGGAGGACUUAGGCAAGCAGUUCAACAGGUGAGGCGACACAUUUUAUUCAUUGUUUCAAAAUAAUAAAUUCAAUCUCACUUAUAAACAAGGCAUUAAUAAAUUGUUAUCACAGGAAACUGUACAAUUAUGGAAAACUAUAAAAUUUAUGAAAACUAAGCUUGUACUUAAGAUAAAUAUUAUUUUAUUCCUUACCACUUUUCAUCAAUAAAUCUUGGAAUAUUUCACAUGUAA